rnacentral:rRNA from 1 species
CCAAUAGCGUAUAUUAAAGUUGUUGCAGUUAAAAAGCUCGUAGUUGAAUUUCGGGAUCAAUAUGUCGGUCGUGCCUCGGUACGUACUGGUAUCAUUGGUUUCUCCCUUCUGAUGAACCAUGAUGCCAUUAAUUUGGUGUCGUGGGGAAUCAGGACUGUUACUUUGAAAAAAUUAGAGUGUUUAAAGCAGGCUCACGCUUGAAUACAUUAGCAUGGAAUAAUGAAAUAGGACGUUUGAUUCUAUUUUGUUGGUUUCUAGGAUCGACGUAAUGAUUAAUAGGGAUAGUUGGGGGCAUUAGUAUUCAAUUGUCAGAGGUGAAAUUCUUGGAUUUAUUGAAGACUAACUACUGCGAAAGCAUUUGCCAAGGAUGUUUUCAUUAAUCAAGAACGAAAGUUAGGGGAUCGAAGACGAUCAGAUACCGUCGUAGUCUUAACCAUAAACUAUGCCGACUAGGGAUCGGAUGAUGUUAAUUUUUUAAUGACUCAUUCGGCGCCUUACG